rnacentral:rRNA from 1 species
CUCGUAGGUGGCCAACUAAGUCAGACGUGAAAUCCCUCAGCUUAACUGGGGAACUGCGUCUGAUACUGGAUGGCUUGAGUUUGGGAGAGGGAUGCGGAAUUCCAGGUGUAGCGGUGAAAUGCGUAGAUAUCUGGAGGAACACCGGUGGCGAAGGCGGCAUCCUGGACCAAUACUGACACUGAGGAGCGAAAAGCCAGGGGGAAGCGAAACG